rnacentral:rRNA from 1 species
AUGUGUCCCAAGUGCUCCUACCUAAGUCGAUGGUCUGGCCUUCCCCAAGCUAUGGUGGGGAGAGGAGAUGUGCUUCCUCCAUGGCUGGCCGGUGGACGCUGCUGCAAGGGCGGUGGGAGCUGCGGCGAGCCAGGGAGGCAACAUUGUGAUCGGGCACCACCGCAGGUGUUACAACGCAGCACAAAGGCCAAGGUGCGGUGUUGCUCGCCGCCGGUGUUGCAACGCAGCGUGAAGGCCGGAGGCGGGCGCCGCUUGCUGCCGGUGUUGCGUUGCAGCACGCAGGAAGAAGUUGGGUUGCUCGCCAUUGGUGUUGUGUUGGAGCUUUUGUCACGUCAUCAGAGUUGCAAUGGAGCGCCGCAUGAGGUUGCAAUGGAGCAUCAUCGGAGCUGA